rnacentral:tRNA from 1 species
GGACCCUUAGCUCAGCUGGUUAGAGCNNUCGUAGGUUCGAGUCCUACAGGGUCCA